rnacentral:rRNA from 1 species
CAGUAGCCACGGGAAAACGGAGGGGGCUAGCGUUGUUCGGAAUUACUGGGCGUAAAGCGCACGUAGGCGGCUUGGUAAGUUAGAGGUGAAAGCCUGGAGCUCAACUCCAGAAUUGCCUUUAAGACUGCCGAGCUAGCAGGUGAGAGAGGUAAGUGGAAUUCCGAGUGUAGAGGUGAGAUUCGUAGAUAUUCGGAAGAACACCAGUGGCGAAGGCGGCUUACUGGCUCAUACUGGACGCUGAGGUGCGAAAGCGUGGGGAGCAAACAGGAUUAGAUACCCCUGUAGUCCCUGUCUCUUAUAC